rnacentral:rRNA from 1 species
GAUGAACGCUAGCUACAGGCUUAACACAUGCAAGUCGAGGGACCGGCGCACGGGUGAGUAACACGUAUCCAACCUGUCCUCUACUCGGGGAUAGCCUUUCGAAAGAAUGAUUAAUAACCGAUAUAUAGGAUGGGGUUGCGUUCCAUUAGGUUGUUGGUGAGGUAACGCCUCACCAAGCCUUCGAUGGAUCGGGGUUCUGAGAGGAAGGUCACCCACAUUGAAACUGAGGCACGGUCCAAAGUCUAACGGGAGGCAGCAAUUAGGAAAAUAGGUGAAUACGCACUAGCCUGAACCCACCAAGUAACGUGAAGAAUGGGGGGUUAUGGGUCGUAAACUUCUUUAAUAUAAGAAUAUGUUUGAUAUGAAGAAGAAUCAACUAACUCCGUGCCGGCAGCGCGGUAAUUC